ACCAGACUCCUACGGGAGGCAGCAGUGGGGCCUCUUGGGCAAUGGGCGCCAGCCUGACCCAGCACCGCCGCGUGAAGGAAGAAGGCUUUCGGGUUGUAAACUUCUUUUCUCAGGGACGAAGAAAGUGACGGUACCUGAGGAAUAAGCCACGGCUAACUACGUGCCAGCAGCCGCGGUAAUACGUAGGUGGCAAGCGUUAUCCGGAUUUACUGGGUGUAAAGGGCGUGUAGGCGGGGAAGCAAGUCAGAUGUUAAAACCACGGGCUCAACCUGUGGCCUGCAUUUGAAACUGUUUUUCUUGAGUGCUGGAGAGGCAAUCGGAAUUCCGUGUGUAGCGGUGAAAUGCGUAGAUAUACGGCGGAACACCAGUGGCGAAGGCGGAUUGCUGGACAGUAACUGACGCUGAGGCGCGAAAGCGUGGGGAGCAAACAGGAUUAGAUACCCCGGAA
rnacentral:rRNA from 1 species